rnacentral:rRNA from 1 species
AAACCUGAGAAACCCGAAAGUUCGAAUGAAAAGAUUCAAUAUUCUUCAAUUGGUUGUACAUUUACUUAUGUGAUUAUGUGAUAGUUUUGUGUUAAUUUCUUUAUCCUUCACCGGAUUUUGAAUGUACAUAUAUUCUACACCACUUUGUUUAUGAACUAAAUACAACUAUGAAGGUAUGCACUUCUUUUCUAGUAGGACGUUGCGACCCAUUGAAUGUUAAUCUACGGCUACUCGUUAGAGCCUAUUCCUAUUUUACUUAAUUGUAUUUAUGGGAAAUAGAUUUCUGAGUGUGUCCCGAAUAACUGUUCGAUGGUAUUUAUAAAACCAUAAUAUUGGAUCGCCACUUUGUCUGGGCAUUUGGUAUUCAUUCAAGUAUGUAAGGUAAUUUGAAUGUCAGGGGCUCUUGUACUGGCUUUGAAUCCUAACUACUGUUCGAGUGAAAUUUAUUAUCAAAUAGUAUCCUUUUAUUGGUCAGCAACGCUGUUGCUUUGGGUACUUUCAGGAC